AGAGUUUGAUCCUGGCUCAGGACGAACGCUGGCGGCGUGCUUAACACAUGCAAGUCGAGCGGAAAGGCCCUUCGGGGUACUCGAGCGGCGAACGGGUGAGUAACACGUGGGUGACCUGCCCUCAGCUCUGGGAUAAGCCCGGGAAACUGGGUCUAAUACCGGAUAUUCACUUCUCAUCGCAUGGUGGGUUGUGGAAAGUAUGUCCUUCAUUGGGCACCUCGGCUGGGGAUGGGCCCGCGGCCUAUCAGCUUGUUGGUGGGGUGAUGGCCUACCAAGGCGACGACGGGUAGCCGGCCUGAGAGGGCGACCGGCCACACUGGGACUGAGACACGGCCCAGACUCCUACGGGAGGCAGCAGUGGGGAAUAUUGCGCAAUGGGCGAAAGCCUGACGCAGCGACGCCGCGUGGGGGAUGAC
rnacentral:rRNA from 1 species